rnacentral:lncRNA from 1 species
AUGUUUUUCUCCAGUUUGAAACCCAGCACCAUUCCAUAUGUGACUAUCUCUGUAUCAAGGAAUACACCCAAGUACAUAGCAGAAACAGCAACUGGGGAGAACCAUGGCAGUUGUGGAAGAGGUGAGAUUCUAAUGCUUUUUGUGGGUGGGGUGAAAAGCUAAGAUGAACAGACAAAAGACUGAAAAAGAAAUAAAAGGAAAGGGUUAUGAGGACUUUAUUUGGAAGGUUACAAAUGUUCACUUAAAAUGAUAUAUUUAUGAAGAGUGGAAGAGUAAGCUGCCUCCAGGUCUUGGGAUAACCAAAUCGUGUCCAUUUCCCUCUCAGGGUAAAAAGACAGUUGAAUUUCUCAGAUCGGAUAUGUGGCUCUCACAAGCUUGAGUCUUAGAGACACCAAGACUGAUCUGUUGGUUCAGGCGAUUACAUGGUACAGGUAUUCAGUUUUUUCCCCUUCUUAAAGAAGAAGGGAUGGAGUAUGGGGGAAAAUUGGAAAAGCAAUAGGGAAAUGGUAAAUAUGUAUGUGAACAACUCCCAAAAUUCUGUGCUUGAGGCCAAAUGAUUGUGGGAUAUAAACCUUAUCAGAAAGCAUUCUUGCAGAGAAGGGGAUAAACCCUCACUACUAAUCUCUUUACACUUGCCUAAACUUCAUGCAUAUCAGUUGUAAAAAAAAAAUCGAUCCCCCUCCCAAGAAAAUGGAUUAUUUCUUUUAACUUUCACAGAUGCAAAGUUUCAGUGGUCUGAUCUUGCACAACAGUUCAUCCCCAAAACUCCGUGGAGCCCGGAAAUCCCUAAAAGGAUAAAUUCAAAUAGUUGUCAAGCCCAGAUCAGCUGGUUUUCUCUGUAAUAAGCAAUAAGAGCACAUAAAGCUUUGGAGAGCUUCUGUUCAACCAUUUCAAAACUCCCUGCUUGGGCGGUGAUGGCAUAAUCGUCAGCAUAGAUGAAAUUCUCUGUCCCUUUUGGCAGUGGCUGGUCAUUUGUGUAACUAUUAAGUAUUGAUGGAGCAAGCACACUCCCCUGAAGCAGGCUGUUCUUCUGUUUUUUGCCAUCUGCUUCUCUGACCCUGGAACUCAACAAAAAAACCCUCCUGUUUUGCAGCAGAUUUCCUAUGAAGCGGGUGAGGUGGUAAUCCUUUGGGAUAUUUAUAAAAGCAUACGUCUCAUUGCUUUUCAGAAGAAGGCAAUGAUUUACAGUAUCAUAUGCUGCUGACAGGUUUAUGAAGACAGCUCCUGCAAUCUGCUGCCUUUCAAAACCAUCUU